AGUGCAAUCAUAACCGGAGAUAUCUCGUUCUCUCCGAAAUAGUUUUUGGACUAGCCUCAGCUAACUCAGUGCACGGGGGUAGAGCGACUGAAUGGGGUUUGGGGGCCUACCCGGCUACCCGCCUCAAUCAAACUCCGAAUACCGUGCGCGAAGCGCUGGGAGUAAGACUACGAGGGAUAAUCUUCGUGGUCAAAAGGGAAACAACCCGGACCAUCGGCUAAGGUCCCUAAGUCAUGCUCAGUUGAAAAGGUAGUCAGAAUGCUGUGACAGCCAGGAUGUUGGCUUAGAAGCAGCCACCAUUUAAAAAGUGCGUAACAGCUUACUGGUCGAGGAUUCUGGCGCCGAUAAUUAUCGGGGAUAAGCAUGACACCGAAGCCGUGGGACUCGUAUGAGUCGGUAGGAGAGCGUUGCUGUCAGCGUCGAAGUUUUCCCGUAAGGGUUGAUGGAGCGGCAGCAAGUGAAUAUGCCAGAUUGAGUAACGAUUAAUGCAGUGAGAAUCUGCAUCCCCGUAUGCCCAAGGUUUCCUGGGGAAGGUAAUUCCGCCCAGGGUUAGUCGGAGCCUAAGGCAAGGCCGAAAGGCGUAGUCGAUGGACAGCUGGUUAAUAUUCCAGCACCCUCGCGUAGGUUGAUGGCAGGUGACGGAUUUCCAUAUCUCAACGGGACAGUGAAGCGUCCAGGCCGUAUGGCCGGUGUUGGGUGAGGAAGUCUCAAGAAAAGCCCUGCCGGACGUUUGCGAGGUCCGUACCAAAACUGACACAGGUGGGCGUGGCGAAUAGCCUCAGGGGCUCGAGAAAACGGUCCUGAAGGAACUAGGCAAUUUGACCCCGUAAGUUCGCGAUAAGGGGGCCCUACUCGCAAGAGAGGGCGCAGAGAAAAGGCUCUGGGAACUGUUUAUCAAAAACACAGCACUGUGCUAACUCGCAAGAGGAUGUAUACAGUGUGACGCUUGCCCGGUGCCGGAACGUCAAGGGAGCUGGUUAGCGCAAGCGAAGCUAGCGACCGAAGCGCCGGUAAACGGCGGCCGUAACUCUGACGGUCCUAAGGUAGCGAAGUUCCUUGUCGGGUAAGUUCCGACGCGCAUGAAUAGCGUAAUCACUGGAGCACUGUCUCCAGGACCGACUCGGUGAAAUAGUAGUGGCGGUGAAGAUGCCGCCUACCCGCAGCAAGACGGAAAGACCCCGUGGACCUUUACUGUACGCUUGCAGUGAUCAUGGAUUUGUUCUGCGUAGCAUAGGUGGGAGCCUGCGAAGUUCGGCUUUCGGGCCGGAUGGAGGCUAAGGUGAAAUACCACCCUGAACGAAUUCGUGGUCUAACCCCGAUUCCCAUGAAACUGGGCGGGGAACACUGCAUGCCGGGCAGUUUGACUGGGGCGGUCUCCUCCCAAAAAGUAACGGAGGAGUGCAAAGGUUGGCUCAGCGCGGUUGGAAACCGCGCCAAGAGUGCAAGAGCACAAGCCAGCUUUAGUGCGAGCCAGACAGGGCAAGCACUCUCGAAAGAGGGCUCUAGUGAUCCGGCGAUCCCGUGUGGAAGGGUCGUCGCUCAACGGAUAAAAGGUACCCCGGGGAUAACAGGCUGAUCGC
rnacentral:rRNA from 1 species